AUGUUGUUAAUAAUUUCUCUCAGCUUGUUCCUGACUUCAUUAUCCAGUGUCCAGUCGGCGGAUAUUUUGAGUCAGCCCAAAGCAGAGAUCGGGAGUCCUGGAGGCUCCCUGAGGCUGACCUGUAAAGCCAGCGGGUUCAGUGUUGAAGGCUACAGCAUGUACUGGAUUCAACAAAUUCCUGGUCAGGGGCUGGAAUGGCUGCUUCACUACUACAGCUCAUCGACAAAUAACUAUGCACCAGCGAUUAAUGAUCGGUUUACUGCUUUCAAAGACAUUUCAAACAAUAUCUUCGGGUUGGACAUUAAGCUCCUUAAGAGCGAAGAUACCGCUAUGUAUUACUGUGGAGUAUACUACAGUAAUUGGGCUGUAGCGUGGGGACCAGGGACCAUGGUGUCAGUCACUGCAGCGGUGCCAUCUGCCCCCACACUUUAUGGCCUGGUCUCAACCUGUCAACAAGACGACAUGGAUCGCUCCAUCAUUUAUGGCUGUUUGGCGAUGGAUUACAUUCCAGACGUCACCACAGUGACCUGGAAGAAAGACGGAGAGAAGAUCACGGCUGGAGUGAAGACUUACCCAUCAGUGAGGAACAAGAAGGGAACUUACACCCUGAGCAGCCAGUUAACCCUGACCGAGUCAGAGGCGAAUUGCAGCAAAAUCUACUGUGAAGUUCAACACAGCAAGUCCAACAAGAGCAUUGCAAUGCCAUGUAAGUACGCCCCUCCAACUCUCCUCCUGACUGUCAGCUCCAGCGAAGACAUCGCAAGCAGCAAGUAUGCAACUGUCCUCUGUUCAAUCAGCGGUUUCCAUCCGAAGACAAUCUCCGUGAGUUGGUUGAAAAAUGGGUUCCCCAUGGACUCGAACUUUUUCACCGCUCCAUUGUGUGAAGCAUAUGGCAAAUUCUCAGCGACCAGUUGGCUGAACAUCUCUGCUGUUGAGUGGUUUCACAGCGCCAUCUAUACCUGUCAGGUUACUCACCAAGGGCUCACUCAAAGUCGAAGCAUAAACGCACCCCAGAAAACUCCAAAUCACUCUGCACUGGAAUGUGAAUCAGGAAUUAGCGAUUGCCUGGAUUACACAGUUAAAAUCCUACCUCCACCAAUAGAACAGGUCUUACUGGACGCAACGGUCACCUUAACCUGUGUUGUGUCCAAGCUUGGCUCUGGAAUCCUGGUCACGUGGACACAAGGAGAGGAAACUGUGAAAUCAGAGAUUGCUGACAAUCCCGGAGAUGCUCCUGACAGCGUGACCAGCACAUUAGUUAUCUCGACUCAAGCCUGGCUGAGUGGAGACCAUUUCGAUUGCUCGGUCAACCAUCAGCAUCUACCAACACCUGCGAGAGAUUCCAUUCGCAAGGAGAAAGUGACAAAUCUUCUGGAGCCAUCAGUGUCCAUUCUCCGACCCACUUCAGAAGAACUCUCCGAGCAAACGGUCGUCUCACUCACCUGUUUAGUGAGAGGUUUCUUCCCCAGAGAGGUUUUCAUCAAAUGGACCACCAACAAUAAGCCGGUGAAUCCCAGUAACUACAGGAACACCAAGGUGAUGGCAGAGAAUGACAACACCUCCUUCUUCAUGUACAGCCUGUUAUCGAUCACAGCGGAGGAGUGGGCCAGCGGUGCUUCUUACUCCUGUGUGGUGGGACAUGAAGCGAUUCCAUUGAAGACCAUCAACAGAACAGUUGAUAAAUCCAGCGAUGUGAUAGAUGGCAGUCAGAUUGAAGACUAUGAGGAUGAUAAUGGCAACAUUGGGACAACUGCUUCCACAUUCAUCACCCUGUUCUUCCUGAGUAUUUCCUAUAGCACUGCCGUCACUCUGAUGAAGGAUGUGGUCUCCAACCCGACUGUGGUACUCAUGUAUGGCAAGGAAAAUAAUGCCUUCUGCUUCCUUCUGUACGCACAAGGCUGUGGGACUAGCUUGCCCCUGAGUUUUCAUUUUGAACGGCCUCUACUGCUCAUCUUGGUCGACUAUUAUUCCUGA